CAUCUUUUCUCCCUCUCUCUUUUCUAUGGCCCAAGUAAAAUUAAAUCACGUCCAAUGGAGAAAUGUACUCCCUCUCUACCGCCGGCCACCUCACUUCUUUUCCCCAUUUUCAAUUAACCUCCCUCAUAUUAAGCCCUAGUCUACCUCUGUCUCUCCUCGUGAAUUCUGAGAGGCUUUCCCCCAUCGCCGCUGUACUCUUGGCUCGGCUGUCGGAGUAUCGCUGGCUCGAGCCCCUCAAUUCCUGGGGUCGCCUGCGAUUCGUACCCACCGGAUUCGGUGGGAGCAGCUCCCUCUUCGGCUCCUGUCGUCUCGCACAGCUGCCCUCUAGAUGCCGCCGUCCGCGACCGCCCUUACUACUCCGACAGCCCGCAGCACCGCCCUCACUGGCGGUUUUCCCCGCUGCUGCCUCUCUGCGUUUGGCGUCGCACCGGGGCCGCCGCUUCACUAUCGGAGUAGCUGCUGUUUCGUAAGCAGCUCGUAGCUUCUGCCGACGCCACACGCUCAUCCGUCGGCGAAGUUCGGAGCCUUCCGCUGUCUCCGCCGGCAAUACUCACUGUCGCCACCGCCCAUAAGCCAUGCCGCUUCCUCGGCAAAAGCUAAGUCUCCAGUUCUUUUACAUUUAGCUAAUAACAUGUUUUUUUUUCUUAGAUUCAUGGCAUCAUGAGACUCAGGUUUGAGGGCAAGCUGAGCAAAUUAGUUACUAAGCUUGAACAGAGUGGUACCAAUCUUAUCUUAUGUUAUAUUGUAUUCUGAUGUGAAUGAGCCUACAGCUCCUGGACAUGCUCUGAAUUUGGUGGCAUAUGGAGGUGUACUCGUGAGGUUAUUGUGGCUGCACAUAGCCUCAGUUUCUGGCUAUCCUUUAUGCUGAAAUUUAACCGAAAUUGGCUCUAUGUGGGGGUUUUAGUACUUGGUUUAUUUAUUGCUUUUGUUGGUUUAGGGCAGGUGUACCACAAUUGACUGAUUUUCCUUGGCAAUGGCAGGUAUGAAUGGAGGGGUACAAGCUGCAAGUUCUCAGCUUUGCAGUGUGCGACUGCAGGAGUGAGAUCUGCCGGCUGUGCUUGCCCUUUCUAGCCAAUCUUUCUCCCAUUUUAUGAAAGGUAUUGGCAGCGCCCAAGGCUAGCUGCCGAGGUUGCUUCCCUCGUGGUCUCGCCCUCUCGGGCCUUUUGGAAUAUGGGCCGAGACGUCCCGGUGACAAAGGCCAAUGUAGUUGUUAGCGAUUUCUAAAUGUAAUAGUGUAGCUUGACUUUUAUUUUCGUUUUUCAUGUUGACAAGUCUCUGUAAUCUUUAAUAUUUAUUCAUUUCAAGCAUUUGUAAUUUAUUA